rnacentral:rRNA from 1 species
AACGAACGCUGGCGGCAGGCUUAACACAUGCAAGUCGAGCGCCCCGCAAGGGGAGCGGCAGACGGGUGAGUAACGCGUGGGAAUCUACCCAUCCCUACGGAACAACUCCGGGAAACUGGAGCUAAUACCGUAUACGUCCUCCGGGAGAAAGAUUUAUCGGGGAUGGAUGAGCCCGCGUUGGAUUAGCUAGUUGGUGGGGUAAAGGCCUACCAAGGCGACGAUCCAUAGCUGGUCUGAGAGGAUGAUCAGCCACACUGGGACUGAGACACGGCCCAGACUCCUACGGGAGGCAGCAGUGGGGAAUAUUGGACAAUGGGCGCAAGCCUGAUCCAGCCAUGCCGCGUGAGUGAUGAAGGCCCUAGGGUUGUAAAGCUCUUUCACCGGGGAAGAUAAUGACGGUACCCGGAGAAGAAGCCCCGGCUAACUUCGUGCCAGCAGCCGCCGUAAUAC